AAUUAGUCCUCUCUAAUGUAAAACAAUGAUCUUAUCAAAUUGUUUUGCCUCGCUUGUGGACAAAAUUAAUGAAAGGUUUUAUUAUCCUAGCUCUCUAAAGUAAUCAAGGAUUUUUAUUGUGCUUGAGAAACGUAAAACCACAUUG